CACGUAGGGGGCGAGCGUUGUCCGGAAUCAUUGGGCGUAAAGAGCUCGUAGGCGGCUCAGUAAGUCGGGUGUGAAACCCUCAGGCUCAACCUGGGGACGCCACCCGAUACUGCUGUGGCUAGAGUCCAGUAGGGGAGUGUGGAAUUCCCGGUGUAGCGGUGAAAUGCGCAGAUAUCGGGAAGAACACCCGUGGCGAAGGCGGCUCUCUGGGACGGUACUGACGCUGAGACGCGAAAGCGUGGGGAGCGAACAGG
rnacentral:rRNA from 1 species